GGUCUGAUAGCACAGCUGGUUAGUGCAUCUACUUAAUGUGCCAGCACUUCCAGUGAUCUUUAGUAGAAGUUCCUUGUUCGAUCCAGAGUCAGGCCA